rnacentral:rRNA from 1 species
AGAGUUGAUCCUGGCUCAGAGUCAACGUUGGCGGCGUGCGUAACACAUGUAAGUCGAACGAGAACCAGGAAGCUUGCUUCCUGGGGACAGUGGCGAACGGGUGAGUAACACGUGAGUAAUCUGCCCUUGAGUGGGGAAUAACUUCGCGAAAGCGGAGAUAAUACCGCAUAACACUCUGAAGCAUAAGCUUUCAGAGUCAAAGCCUUCGGGCGCUUAGGGAUGAGCUCGCGGCCUAUUAGCUUGUUGGUAGGGUAACGGCCUACCAAGGCUUCGAUGGGUAGCCGGCCUGAGAGGGUGUACGGCCACACUGGAACUUAGACACGGUCCAGACUCCUACGGGAGGCAGCAGUGGGGAAUUUUGCGCAAUGGGCGAAAGCCUGACGCAGCGACGCCGCGUGGAGGAUUAAGGCCUUCGGGUUGUAAACUCCUGUCAGAGGUGAAGAAAGUCUCCUUCGGGAGACCUGACGGUAACCUCAGAGGAAGCCCCGGCUAACUACGUGCCAGCAGCCGCGGUAAUACGUAGGGGGCAAACGUUGCUCGGAAUUACUGGGCGUAAAGGGUGUGUAGGUGGCUGUGCAAGUCAUUGAUGAAAUCCCGAGGCUCAACCUCGGAAUUGUCUCUGAAACUUCACAGCUUGAGGAUAUUUGAGGAAAACGGAAUUCCCGGUGGAGCGGUGAAAUGCGUAGAUAUCGGGAGGAACACCAGAGGCGAACGCGGUUUUCUAGAGUAUUCCUGACACUGAGACACGAAAGCUAGGGGAGCGAACGGGAUUAGAUACCCCGGUAGUCCUAGCCGUAAACGAUGGGUACUAGAUGUUUCCAUGUUAUGUGGGAGUGUCGAAGUUAACGCGUUU